UACGUAGGGUGCGAGCGUUAAUCGGAAUUACUGGGCGUAAAGCGUGCGCAGGCGGUUUUGUAAGACAGGUGUGAAAUCCCCGGGCUUAACCUGGGAACUGCGCUUGUGACUGCAAGACUCGAGUACGGCAGAGGGGGGGUAGAAUUCCACGUGUAGCAGUGAAAUGCGUAGAGAUGUGGAGGAAUACCGAUGGCGAAGGC
rnacentral:rRNA from 1 species